rnacentral:rRNA from 1 species
GACGAACGCUGGCGGCGUGCUUAACCCAUGCAAGUCGAACGGAAAGGCCCUGCUUUUGUGGGGUGCUCGAGUGGCGAACGGGUGAGUAACACGUGAGUAACCUGCCCUUGACUUUGGGAUAACUUCAGGAAACUGGGGCUAAUACCGGAUAGGAGCUCCUGCUGCAUGGUGGGGGUUGGAAAGUUUCGGCGGUUGGGGAUGGACUCGCGGCUUAUCAGCUUGUUGGUGGGGUAGUGGCUUACCAAGGCUUUGACGGGUAGCCGGCCUGAGAGGGUGACCGGCCACAUUGGGACUGAGAUACGGCCCAGACUCCUACGGGAGGCAGCAGUGGGGAAUAUUGCACAAUGGGCGGAAGCCUGAUGCAGCAACGCCGCGUGCGAGAUGACGGCCUUCGGGUUGUAAACCGCUUUCGCCUGUGACGAAGCGUGAGUGACGGUAAUGGGUAAAGAAGCACCGGCUAACUACGUGCCAGCAGCCGCGGUGAUACGUAGGGUGCGAGCGUUGUCCGGAUUUAUUGGGCGUAAAGGGCUCGUAGGUGGUUGAUCGCGUCGGAAGUGUAAUCUUGGGGCUUAACCCUGAGCGUGCUUUCGAUACGGGUUGACUUGAGGAAGGUAGGGGAGAAUGGAAUUCCUGGUGGAGCGGUGGAAUGCGCAGAUAUCAGGAGGAACACCAGUGGCGAAGGCGGUUCUCUGGGCCUUUCCUGACGCUGAGGAGCGAAAGCGUGGGGAGCGAACAGGCUUAGAUACCCUGGUAGUCCACGCUGUAAACGGUGGGUACUAGGUGUGGGGUCCAUUCCACGGGUUCCGUGCCGUAGCUAACGCUUUAAGUACCCCGCCUGGGGAGUACGGCCGCAAGGCUAAAACUCAAAGGAAUUGACGGGGCCCCGCACAAGCGGCGGAGCAUGCGGAUUAAUUCGAUGCAACGCGUAGAACCUUACCUGGGUUUGACAUGGAUCGGGAGUGCUCAGAGAUGGGUGUGCCUCUUUUGGGGUCGGUUCACAGGUGGUGCAUGGCUGUCGUCAGCUCGUGUCGUGAGAUGUUGGGUUAAGUCCCGCAACGAGCGCAACCCUUGUUCACUGUUGCCAGCACGUUAUGGUGGGGACUCAGUGGAGACCGCCGGGGUCAACUCGGAGGAAGGUGGGGAUGACGUCAAGUCAUCAUGCCCCUUAUGUCCAGGGCUUCACGCAUGCUACAAUGGCUGGUACAGAGAGUGGCGAGCCUGUGAGGGUGAGCGAAUCUCGGAAAGCCGGCCUCAGUUCGGAUUGGGGUCUGCAACUCGACCUCAUGAAGUCGGAGUCGCUAGUAAUCGCAAAUCAGCAACGCUGCGGUGAAUACGUUCCCGGG